rnacentral:rRNA from 1 species
UCAUUAUAUAAGUUAUCGUUUAUUUGAUAGUACCUUACUACUUGGAUAACCGUGGUAAUUCUAGAGCUAAUACAUGCUAAAAAUCCCGACUUCGGAAGGGAUGUAUUUAUUAGAUUAAAAACCAAUGCCCUCUGGGCUCCUUGGUGAUUCAUGAUAACUUCUCGAAUCGCAUGGCCUUGCGCCGGCGAUGGUUCAUUCAAAUUUCUUCCCUAUCAACUUUCGAUGUUUGGGUAGUGGCCAAACAUGGUUGCAACGGGUAACGGAGGGUUAGGGCUCGACCCCGGAGAAGGAGCCUGAGAAACGGCUACUACAUCCAAGGAAGGCAGCAGGCGCGCAAAUUACCCAAUCCCGAUUCGGGGAGGUAGUGACAAUAAAUACUGAUACAGGGCUCUUUUGGGUCUUGUAAUUGGAAUGAGUACAAUUUAAAUCCCUUAACGAGGAACAAUUGGAGGGCAAGUCUGGUGCCAGCAGCCGCGGUAAUUCCAGCUCCAAUAGCGUAUAUUAAAGUUGUUGUGGUUAAAAAGCUCGUAGUUGAACCUUGGGCCUGGCUGGCCGGUCCGCCUCACCGCGUGUACUGGUCCGGCCGGGCCUUUCCCUCUGUGGAACCCCAUGCCCUUCACUGGGUGUGGCGGGGAAACAGGACUUUUACUUUGAAAAAAUUAGAGUGCUCCAGGCAGGCCUAUGCUCGAAUACAUUAGCAUGGAAUAAUAAAAUAGGACGUGCGGUUCUAUUUUGUUGGUUUCUAGGACCGCCGUAAUGAUUAAUAGGGACAGUCGGGGGCAUCAGUAUUCAAUUGUCAGAGGUGAAAUUCUUGGAUUUAUUGAAGACUAACUACUGCGAAAGCAUUUGCCAAGGAUGUUUUCAUUAAUCAGGAACGAAAGUUAGGGGAUCGAAGACGAUCAGAUACCGUCGUAGUCUUAACCAUAAACUAUGCCGACUAGGGAUCGGACGAUGUUAUUUUUUGACUCGUUCGG